rnacentral:rRNA from 1 species
AGCAGCCGCGGUAAUUCCAGCUCCAAUAGCGUAUAUUAAAGUUGUUGCAGUUAAAAAGCUCGUAGUUGAAUUUCGGGGCUAGCACGCUGGUCGUGCCUUCGGUAUGUACUGGUGUUACUGGUUCCUACCUUCUGACGAACCGUCAUGUCAUUAAUUUGGUGUGGCGGGGAAUCAGGACUGUUACUUUGAAAAAAUUAGAGUGUUUAAAGCAGGCUCGCGCUUGAAUACAUUAGCAUGGAAUAAUGAAAUAGGACGUUCGAUCCUAUUUUGUUGGUUUCUAGGAUUGACGUAAUGAUUAAUAGGGAUAGUUGGGGGCAUUAGUAUUCAAUUGUCAGAGGUGAAAUUCUUGGAUUUAUUGAAGACUAACUACUGCGAAAGCAUUUGCCAAGGAUGUUUUCAUUAAUCAAGAACGAAAGUUAGGGGAUCGAAGACGAUCAGAUACCGUCGUAG